GGGGCUGUAGCUCAGUUGGGAGAGCGCGUGCUUUGCAAGCAUGAGGUCGUCGGUUCGAUC
rnacentral:tRNA from 1 species